AAAUCCCUGCGUGGUGCGUAUAGAUCGAAAUUUUUUUACCAACAAAUUUUUAAGGGGAGUCUGCCUUUGGGAGUGGCGUGCAAGCUUGCAUUUUAUGUAAGAAGCCCAGGAGCUUUCAACAAGACACCCACCUGUGCAAACAGGUAUAAAAAUUUUCUUCAUCCUACGGCUAAGGUGGGGUAUUU
rnacentral:other from 1 species